UCUGUGGGGCACGUGACUCGCCCCGAGCCUCCCCGUUCGGUUCAAUGCAGGACGCGGCUUCUCCGUCUCCCCUGCCAUAAAAAAUCGCAAGGAUGCGCAAAAUGGCAGCGAAGCGCCCGCCGCUCCCGCUUCUCCUUUCCGUCCCCCAUGACGAGAGUUCGUGGGAAAGGCGUUGGAGAGCCGCUGCUGCUGCCCGUGCCCUGGAAAUGGCGGGCUGUCGGCGAAACAUCCCCCGUGUAUAUUUACCCCGAAGAAAAUCGCAAUAAGUUAAAUGGGACUUAAUGCCCCCACCCCACUUUCUGGGCCACCAUUUUUAUCUGUAAGCUGCCUUGAGUCCUUGGCAGGGAAAAAGGUAGAGAACAGCUGCCUGGCUGCUUGUGGAGCGACAAGAGAAACACGAGAACAGUGAUGACUAGGUGCUCAUUGCGGGCAGGUGGCGCUGUUACGUGAGUGAAUAUGGGGAAGAGUGUCAUAUCACCUAGGGAUUCUUGCAGUCCGCAUAUCUCAUCUUUGUCCUUCAUCUCCCAAUGAAAAGCUCCCAGGGUCUCCAUUCCAACUGCACCAGUUGUAGAACACAAGGUAGCCAUUUGCGACUUUGCUCAUCUUUUCUACAGUAGGGAGUUGCUCUGUAGUUUCAGUUUGUUCUGUUCCAUAUGCCCUGGUUCAUAUCCUGCACGCAUGAGCGUCGUGACUGUUUGGCCAGCAGCGGCAAUACCCAAAGACGAGUCUGCUAUUGUGCUCCUCGUUGCUUUCCCUGGGAUGUAGCGGAAGUUUGUAUGCAGUGGGGUUAUAGCGGCCACCAGGGCCUCUGCUUUUGCACAGUACAGAUUUACCCUAUAUCCCCUUGUACAAGGAAUACUCCUGCGGCCUCGCAGAUAAGGUAGUGAUGUUAAGCCAAUCCACAUUUUGUCCCUAUUCUGGUGGGAGAUACUCUGUGGCCUUGAGUGCUUUCCACGUCUUUCUUUCCUUGGGGGAGUUGGAGUAAGUGCAGGUGCCAUACUUUGAGGCAUGGUCUCCCCUUCCAUGCUUACCCGCGUGUCAUGGGGGAGUGCUUUGUUCUUAGACCACCAUUUGCAGGAGUGGAGAUUUUUAAUGGGUACAGUAAUACCUCCGUGACCAUCCGCCUUGUCUAGCGUCCAUUCUGGCGAACGUACACGGUAAACCCGGAAAUACUGGAAUGGGUUACUUCCGGAUUUGUUGCUUGUGCACGUGCAGAAGUGCAAACCGCUCCGUGCACAGACACAGCACUUUGCCCUGCGUCCUUUUCAGCUAGCGACCGGGGCUCCGGAACGGAUCCCAGCCGCAAGACAAGGUACGACUGUAUUAGUGUCCUGACAUGUGCUCACAGCAGCCUAAAGAACAAAAGAUGAACAGACUCUGGGCCACAACUAGGAUAGUCAUGUUUACAGACGUUGGACUUUACAUGUUGGCCUUUGGCAAUCCAAUAUGUGGCUGUGUGCUAGGACAGGCUUGCCUGCAUGUAGGCUCUGAACCAUUAUCUGAACCAUUACCUGCAGCAUUCUACUUUUUGUAACAACAUUUUAAGUUAAUGUGUUUUACAAUCUUCUUAUCCUUACAAUGACAUUGUCAAGCAGAUCAUAGUGCUGCUUGAACAUUAUAACAAAACAAACAGUACUAGUCUCUUAAAAAUACAGUGGCAUGAACUGUCUUGGGCUAGACUCCACUUCACUAGAUGCAUCAUUCUUAGUAACCCACAAAAGCAUAUUGUUACACUUGCCAGCUUUAAACUGCUGCUGGACUGUUGUCUUAUUUCUGGUGUAAGCCAUGGUUAGCUGGCUACCUCUUUGAUUAAAAGUGUACCAGAGUUGUGUA